UACGGAGGGGGCUAGUGUUAUUCGGAAUGACUGGGCGUAAAGGGUACGUAGGCGGUAAAUUAAGUUGAACGUGAAAUCCCAAAGCUUAACUUUGGAAGUGCUUUCAAUACUGGUUUACUCGAGAUCGAUAGGGGAUAGUGGAAUUUCUAGUGUAGAGAUAGAAUUCAUAAAUAUUAGAAGGAACACCAGUGGCGAAGGCGACUAUCUGGAUCGAUACUGACGCUGAGGUACGAAAGCAUGGGGAGCAAACGGG
rnacentral:rRNA from 1 species